AAUAGAUACCCCGGUAGUCCAUGCCGUAAACGUUGGGCGCUAGAUGUGGGGACCAUUCCACGGUUUCCGUGUCGCAGCUAACGCAUUAAGCGCCCCGCCUGGGGAGUACGGCCGCAAGGCUAAAACUCAAAGGAAUUGACGGGGGCCCGCACAAGCGGCGGAGCAUGCGGAUUAAUUCGAUGCAACGCGAAGAACCUUACCAAGGCUUGACAUAUACGAGAACGCUCUAGAAAUAGAGAACUCUUUGGACACUCGUAUACAGGUGGUGCAUGGUUGUCGUCAGCUCGUGUCGUGAGAUGUUGGGUUAAGUCCCGCAACGAGCGCAACCCUCGUUCUAUGUUGCCAGCGGUUCGGCCGGGAACUCAUAGGAGACUGCCGGGGUCAACUCGGAGGAAGGUGGGGAUGACGUCAAAUCAUCAUGCCCCUUAUGUCUUGGGCUUCACGCAUGCUACAAUGGCCGGUACAAAGGGCUGCAAUACCGUAAGGUGGAGCGAAUCCCAAAAAGCCGGUCUCAGUUCGGAUUGAGGUCUGC
rnacentral:rRNA from 1 species